rnacentral:rRNA from 1 species
AUGUUCGCUACCCAAUCCCGUUCUCGUGUGAACAACUGCCGCCACUCCCUCACCAAUGCACAGAAAGGCUCCUUGAGCGCAUCCGCAUACUUUGGGCAGAUGAGAGCACUCUCGGACGAGCUAGCUGCCGCCGGGAACCCCAUAACAGAAGCAGAUCUUCUUUCUCACAUCAUUGCAGGGCUCGACAUGGACUACUAACCUCUGAUCUCGGCGCUGGACGUACGCAUCGCUCCCCUCUCGGUGGAUGAUCUCUUCGGCAUGGUCUCCAACUUCGACCAAUGCGUUGAGAUGUUCCACGGGACAGGGGCAGGGGCUUUCAAGUCCUCGGCUAAUGUUGCAACCCGAGGUCGUGGCAACAACAACAACUCCAGCCGCUACCACAACUCCAACAGGAGUGGUGGUGGUGGAUCUCGUGGUGGCGGCGGCGGCCCUUACCAGAACGGCGGCAACGGCGGCGGCGGUCACUACAACAACUCCAACGCCGGUGGCGGCGGCUACAACAACUACAACAACGACGGCGGUGGUGGCGGCGGCCACUACUAG